rnacentral:rRNA from 1 species
UACGGGGGGAGCAAGCGUUGUUCGGAUUUACUGGGCGUAAAGGGCGCGUAGGCGGCCACUGCAAGUCGGUUGUGAACUCUCCGGGCUUAACCCGGAAAGGUCAAUCGAUACUGCAGGGCUAGAGUGACAGAAGGGGCAACUGGAAUUCUACGGUGUAGCGGUGAAAUGCGUAGAUAUCGAGAGGAACACCUGCGGCGAAGGCGGGUUGCUGGGCUGACACAUGACGCUGGAAGCGACGAAAGCUAGGGGAGCGAACGGG